UACAGAGGUCCCAAGCGUUGUUCGGAUUCACUGGGCGUAAAGGGUGCGUAGGCGGUCGGGUAAGUCUGAUGUGAAAUCUCACAGCUUAACUGUGAAACUGCAUUGGAUACUAUCCGGCUCGAGGAAUGGAGGGGAGACUGGAAUACUUGGUGUAGCAGUGAAAUGCGUAGAUAUCAAGUGGAACACCAGUGGCGAAGGCGGGUCUCUGGGCAGUAACUGACGCUGAGGAGCGAAAGCGUGGGGAGCGAACAGG
rnacentral:rRNA from 1 species